GUCAGUGUGUGUGUGUGUGUUGUGUCUGCGCCGCGCCGCGCCCUGUGUAGUGCGGGAAGGGCAUCGCAGUGCCGCAAAGUCGAGGAAAUGGACACACGAAAGUUGACCAGUGCGGCGCGGCGCGGCGGCCCAUCCUGUAAGUGCCCUCAUCCAGUGCCACCACCUGCAGGACCUAGUGACCAGCCCCGCCCCGCCCCGCCCCGCCCCGGGCCGCGCCGACCCGCUAUACAGAAGACAAGACACUGUGCCUCGCCCAAACCCGCCGCCCGAGCCUGGCCUCAAGCCGCGCCUCGCAUACACGAAGGAACCUUUCUUGACUCUCCUGCUGCCCGUAUUCCCAGACGCCUCGGGCACCACGGCGACUAUUUCCCAGGGCCACAAGGAGACGCGUCCGGUGCCAAGAGUCUCUUCACGUCACGGUGCAGCAGCCUCGGCAAAGCGUCACUUGGCUCAUAAAACCACCCUUGGAAAUACUCACACAACUUGUACGAAAGCUUAACAAAUGUGGGAGUGUGAGCCCCAAAAUGUUUAAGAAUGUGCCACUUGUCCAACGCUGAGAGCACACGAGAACAUGUUAACGUAGAGAACGCACCGAACGACGACUUGUUGCUUCUUCGUCUUCGUCUUCUUCGAUAUAGAGACAGACUCGUCGCUUGAGAUCUUGCUCCAGUCUGUGCCUCGCUAACUUAAGUCUUUGUCGCUAUAACAAGUUCGCUAUAACGCCCUGCCCUGCCAAAUUCAGAGCAACGUUGGGAGAGGUCUUUGUCGCAAUUAGAAGUUCGCUAUAUCGUCGUGCCCUGCCAAGCACAGAGCACCACAGCGUUACCAAGUUAUCGUACUCAUAACGUCGCAUUUCCCGGCUUCCAAGGCAUAACUUUUGCAUACAACACAUCAGUAAAUAACGAUUUCUACACUAACUACAAAUAAAUUAUCGUACUCAUAACAUUACCGUGCCAAGAACAUCGCAUUUCCCGGCUUCCAACGCAUAACUCUUGCAUAUAACACAUCAGUGACUAACGAAUUUUAAGCUAACUACAAAUAAAUAUCAUCAUCUCUUUGGGUACGAUAGUGUUUGGGGUCUGAAACCGCCUAACACAACAUGCUGAGUACGGUAGUCUUGUAACCUUGGAGUUCAAAACAUCGCAUCUGCCACUAAGCAUAACAUUGACUCACUAAAAGUCGUUACUGAGUGGUCUGGUCGUUUGCUAAUAGGGACAAAUUGUUACGUUUUUGAGGUUAAGCAAAUGAGAAUGAACGUUUGAAAUGGAUGAUAGAGAUUCACAAACAGAGAGAGAAGAAAAUAUGGCAGAAAACGUUUGCUAAUAGGGAUAAAUUGUUACGUUUUUGAGGUUAAGCAAAUGAGAAUGAACGUUUGAAAUGGAUGAUAUAAAGAUUCACAAACAGAAGGAGGAGAUACAUGACAGACUGAAGAAAAUAUCCCAGAAAUCGUUUGCUAAUAGGGACAAAUUGUUACGUUUUCGAGGUUAAGGAAAUGAGAAUGAACGUUUGAAAUGGAUGAUAUAAAGAUUCACAAACAGAAGGAGGAGAUACAUGACAGACUGAAGAAAAUAUCCCAGAAAUCGUUUGCUAAUAGGGACAAAUUGUUACGUUUUUGAGGUUAAGGAAAUGAGAAUGAACGUUUGAAAUGAAAGAUAGAGAGACUGACGAAGACUUAGAACAUAUGACGUAUAAUAACCUAAAGAAAAAUAAGCCAAAACUAAUUAAAUAUAGCAACCAAUUAUGAAGAUUUUGAGAUAAUGGAAAUAAGAAUGAACGUUUUAGAAGAAGAUACAGAGAUUGACGUAGAGGUAGAACAGCUGACGCAUAAUAACCUAAAGAAAAAUGAGCUAAAA